rnacentral:rRNA from 1 species
UACAGAGGGUGCAAGCGUUGUCCGGAAUCACUGGGCGUAAAGGCGCGUAGGCGGCCUGAUAAGUCGGGGGUGAAAUUCUGCGGCUUAACCGCAGGACGGCCUUCGAGACUGUCGGGCUUGAGCACGGUAGAGGCUGGUGGAAUUCCCGGUGUAGCGGUGGAAUGCGUAGAGAUCGGGAAGAACAUCGGUGGCGAAGGCGGCCAGCUGGGCCGUUGCUGACGCUGAGGCGCGACAGCGUGGGGGAGCAAACAGG